AAAGCACCGGACGUUCUGUGGUGAGAGGGAAGGGGAAAAAAAACCGUAAUGCACUUAUAAAGGCGACUUCUAUGCCGGCUAUAAGCAGGACAGAGCACAGAUCUGAAUAAAGCGUCCAGAAACAGUACCGGUGCCGAUUAUUGAGCACCGCGCUGGCUGGAGAAAAAAAAAAAAAAAAAAAUGCAAGAGCCAAUCUUCCUGAACGUGUGUUCAGAAAUGAAAAGUCCCGCAACUGUCAAUUUCAAAGUCAAGUCAAGAGUCUUAUGAUCAAAGAACAGAACACAACUUCCAAAGUAGUUGAACGCUACUGUACCAAGUGAACAGACGCCGUUUUUGCUCUUGACAGCUGUGUCAAAGUGACGUCCUCUCUGUAUGUCUUCUUUAUUGCUACAGGUUUUUGCGCCGCAUAUCUACGUGCGUGCCGAAAGAAGAAAGCCUUGUACUCUUAGUCCCGUUCCACCGCGCGCGUGGUCCCAACUGUAAGCUCGGUACGCCGUGCGCCUCUUAUAUAUAUUCAAAAACGUGGCUCUAUGAGGUCCCUGAUUGGUUGCGGAGCUUUCUCCAGACCACGCCCACAGUCGGAGGAGGGGACGAGGAUGGUGACGUCAAUGCCAGGAACUGCCGGGACCGUAAACAAGCCCGAGGCGUGAGGAGGCAGCGUCGAGCGCGGACUUUGAGAAGCGGGCGAAGGGUCGCAGGGAUGUGCCUGUAACGCGCGCGGUUUGAUACGUGAGCGCCACCGUGUAGAGAGGCGUGAGAUGGAGUUGUGAUGAUAAUGAUCAUGAUAAUGGCCCCAGACUCCAGGGUCCCAAGACUAAGACGCCAGGCUGCCAGACCAGACAAUGUGUGUGAGCCAGACUGAAGGCCAUGGAUUUUCACCCUGCUCCAGAACAGCUCGGUCACUUCUCCAUGGCUCACCCACAUAAUAAAAGGUGCGGAACGUGCCAUCCCGGAGCCCGAGCACCCUGGAGAAGGCAGGAGCCUGUGAGAACGCAGCUGAGAACAGCCGGCCUGUGUCAUUGUGUGAAACUGAGUGGGCUGCCAGUGAUUCAGGUGCACUGAUUUAUCGCACGUUGAAAGAGAGCUCGCAGUCAGACCCGCAGAGGUCCGAGGCAGCCGACGGAGGCAGGAAGACGAGGCAGCGGGUGGAGGCAGGUUGCAGGGCGGCUCGUUGCGAUUUAAAACUCACGCUGAGAUGCACUUCGUCAGCCGACCGAGACAAGCGCAGUGCCAUUAAAAGAAAAAGUGGUGAGUCACUGUGCUUCCCAAAACCCCCCUUCUUCCCGCUUUACGGGAACUGGAAUGUGUUUUUAUGUCUUUUUCUUUUUUCUUUCUCUCUCGCCUUUGACAAGCCCUUGGUCAGGCGGUAUGUUAAUGUUUGUCUUUGUGGCUGUUUAAUCUUCCCGGGGGUGGGCAGCCUUUAUUAUGACCAGCGGAGACACACACAAGCAUUGUAACACACAGGGGAGGCAGCCAACGCUCUCCAUCGCUGCCCCAUUCUCCUCGGUGUCAUUUUAUUGUGAUUUCUGGAUGAAGAGUUAAGGGUGCUAAUCAUCUUCGUAACUUAUCGCACCCAAUAGUGCGUAUAAAUUAGUAGGCAGCGUAGUUAGCUGAAGGUUGAUGGUUCACAUUUCGGAAAAUUUCCCAAGGCAUGCUGUUGAUAGUUCUGCUCAAAGCAUUUUAUCGAAACCAAGCAUUUCCCCAUCAAGCCCAUUGCCUCGCACAAGCAAAAAUGUGAAAUCAGUGCGCCUUAGUGUGCUGUGGUGUGACUUACAAUUUAUGUAUACGGCACACAGUUACGCAAGAGUCAAGGUUGUAGAAAAAGAUUUAUAAAGGUUUACAUGCAGGGGUGUCAAAGGGUUUUCCCCCUGAAAAUGUUUGGAUUUUCACACAUUUUCGAAUUUGAGUUAGAAUUAUUCUAACACACUGGCUGAACAAGACACAAAAAUGCGCACUUCUGCAAAAUUAUGUAACUUUUAAAGCAUAGUUAGUUAAAACAAGGCUUAUGAAAAGCAAUGCAUGUUCCACCAGCUGAAAUAAUUUCAGUUUGCGCUUCCUCAUAAAUGGCAAAUGCAAAGAGAGUGAAAUAAAAGGGUGACAGUUGGGCA
rnacentral:lncRNA from 1 species